UACGUAGGGUGCAAGCGUUGUCCGGAAUUAUUGGGCGUAAAGAGCUCGUAGGCGGUCUGUCGCGUCGGCUGUGAAAACCCGGGGCUCAACCCCGGGCCUGCAGUCGAUACGGGCAGACUAGAGUGCGGUAGGGGAGACUGGAAUUCCUGAUGUAGCGGUGGAAUGCGCAGAUAUCAGGAGGAACACCGGUGGCGAAGGCGGGUCUCUGGGCCGUAACUGACGCUGAGGAGCGAAAGCGUGGGGAGCGAACAGG
rnacentral:rRNA from 1 species